UUCUUGAUGGCUCAGUUGGUAGGGCAUGAUACUCUUAACCCCAGGGUUGUGGGUUUGAGCCCCAAACUGGGCAAA